GGGCUAGUAGCUCAGCUGGUUAGAGCGCACGCUUGAUAAGCGUGAGGUCACUGGUUCGAAUCCAGUCUGGCCCA
rnacentral:tRNA from 2 species